CUACGGGAUGCAGCAGUGAGGAAUAUUGCGCAAUGGGGGCAACCCUGACGCAGCAACGCCGCGUGGAUGAUGAAGGCCUUCGGGUUGUAAAAUCCUUUUCUGGGGGGCGAUAAUGACGGUACCUCAGGAAUAAGUCCCGGCUAACUACGUGCCAGCAGCCGCGGUAAAACGUAGGGGGCGAGGCGUUAUCCGGAUUUACUGGGCGUAAAGCGCGCGUAGGCGGUGCCGUAAGUUGGAUGUGAAAGCUCUUGGCUUAACUGAGAGAGGUCGUUCAAUACUGCGGUGCUUGAGGUCAGAAGAGGAGAGUAGAAUUCCCGGUGUAGUGGUGGAAUGCGUAGAUAUCGGGAGGAAUACCGGUGGCGAAGGCGGCUCUCUGGUCUGUACCUGACGCUGAGGUGCGAAAGCGUGGGUAGCGAACGGGAUUAGAUACCCGUGUAGUC
rnacentral:rRNA from 1 species